rnacentral:rRNA from 1 species
UACGUAGGUGGCAAGCGUUGUCCGGAUUUAUUGGGUUUAAAGGGUGCGUAGGUGGCCCUGUAAGUCAGUGGUGAAAUAUGUCAGCUUAACUGAGAGGAUGCCAUUGAUACUGCAGGGCUUGAGUACAGAUGAGGUAGGCGGAAUUGACGGUGUAGCGGUGAAAUGCAUAGAUAUCGUCAAGAACACCGAUAGCGAAGGCAGCUUACCAAGCUGUAACUGACACUGAGGCACGAAAGUGUGGGGAUCAAACAGG